rnacentral:miRNA from 1 species
GGGAGGUGUGAUCCCGUGCUCCCUGGGAGGUGUGAUCCCGUGCUCCCU